CCGCUCUUGGCGUAAUGGUAACGCGUCUGACUACGGAUCAGAAGACUGCAGGUUCGAGUCCUGUAGGGCGGG
rfam:Lodderomyces elongisporus NRRL YB-4239 supercont1.5 genomic scaffold, whole genome shotgun sequence.